GGCAGCGUGAAAUCUCCGAUUUCGCUGGUCUCAAUUUUCUGCGAAAAUUGAGGAAAGUCUGCCCACCAAGUUAAAGCCACUUUCGUAUGAAAGAUCCAGCAAUGGAUGGCAACAUCACAGAAACGGCACGGCCUUUAAGGCGCUAUGAUAUCCUGAAACCCUGGUGACAGGAGCAAGUUAACGGAUUGAGUCAUGCAUUGAAGGAAACGUUGAAACGGAUAGGACUGGCAGGUGCAAGCACAAAACGUGCGCUAAGUAAAAUGCCAAGACAGCCUGUUCCUUGCAGAUAAAUCCUGCAAACACUGCUUAACCAAAAAAUCAGUGUUGAAGGCUGACAAAAGGCAGCUUAUUCCUACCCAACC
rnacentral:RNase_P_RNA from 1 species